rnacentral:rRNA from 1 species
GAUGAACGCUGGCGGCGUGCCUAAUACAUGCCAGUCGAGCGAACAGAUGAGGAGCUUGCUCCUCUGACGUUAGCGGCGGACGGGUGAGUAACACGUGGAUAACCUACCUAUAAGACUGGGAUAACUUCGGGAAACCGGAGCUAAUACCGGAUAAUAUAUUGAACCGCAUGGUUCAAUAGAGAAAGACGGUUUUGCUGUCACUUAUAGAUGGAUCCGCGCCGCAUUAGCUAGUUGGUAAGGUAACGGCUUACCAAGGCAACGAUGCGUAGCCGACAGGAGAGGAGGAGGGGCCAACUGGGAACGGAGACACGGCAAGGACCCAUGAGGGAGGCAGAAGGGGGGAAUAUUGCGCAAGGGGCGAAAGCCGGAGGGACAAACCCGGGGGGAGGGAAGAAGGUGUGAGGACGUAAAAACUUUUUUAUGGGGAAAAAAAAAAUGGAUAAGAACCAAUCCACGUCUGGAGGGUACCUAAUAAAAAAGCAACGGAAAACCCGGGC